rnacentral:rRNA from 1 species
ACCCGCUGAACUUAAGCAUAUCAAUAAGCGGAGGAAAAGAAACUAACAAGGAUUCCCCUAGUAACGGCGAGUGAAGCGGGAAGAGCUCAAAUUUGAAAUCUGGUGGCCUCAGGUCAUCCGAGUUGUAAUCUAUAGAAGUGUUUUCCGUGCUGGCUCAUGUACAAGUCCCUUGGAACAGGGCGUCAUAGAGGGUGAGAAUCCCGUCCUUGACAUGAACUACCAGUGCUCUGUGAUACAUUUUCAACGAGUCGAGUUGUUUGGGAAUGCAGCUCAAAAUGGGUGGUAAAUUCCAUCUAAAGCUAAAUAUUGGCGAGAGACCGAUAGCGAACAAGUACCGUGAGGGAAAGAUGAAAAGCACUUUGGAAAGAGAGUUAAACAGUAUGUGAAAUUGUUGAAAGGGAAACGAUUGAAGUCAGUCGUGCUCUUUGGAUUCAGCCGGUUCUGCCGGUGUACUUCCUUUGAGUGGGGUCAACAUCAGUUUUGAUCGCUGGAUAAAGGCUGGAGGAACGUAGUACCCUCGGGUAAACUUAUAGCCUCCUGUCACAUACAGUGGUUGGGACUGAGGAACGCAGCACGCCUUUAUGGCCGGGAUUCGUCCACGUACGUGCCUAGGAUGUUGACAUAAUGGCUUU